UGGCGGCGUGCUUAACACAUGCAAGUCGAACGGAAAGGCCCUGCUUUUGUGGGGUGCUCGAGUGGCGAACGGGUGAGUAACACGUGAGUAACCUGCCCUUGACUUUGGGAUAACUUCAGGAAACUGGGGCUAAUACCGGAUAGGAGCUCCUGCUGCAUGGUGGGGGUUGGAAAGUUUCGGCGGUUGGGGAUGGACUCGCGGCUUAUCAGCUUGUUGGUGGGGUAGUGGCUUACCAAGGCUUUGACGGGUAGCCGGCCUGAGAGGGUGACCGGCCACAUUGGGACUGAGAUACGGCCCAGACUCCUACAGGAGGCAGCAGUGGGGAAUAUUGCACAAUGGGCGGAAGCCUGAUGCAGCAACGCCGNGUGCGGGAUGACGGCCUUCGGGUUGUAAACCNNUUUCGCCUGUGACGAAGCGUGAGUGACGGUAAUGGGUAAAGAAGCACCGGCUAACUACGUGCCAGCAGCCNCGGUGAUACGUAGGGUNCAAGCGUUGUCCGGAUUUAUUGGGCGUAAAGGGCUCGUAGGUGGUUGAUCGCGUCGGAAGUGUAAUCUUGGGGCUUAACCCUGAGCGUGCUUUCGAUACGGGUUGACUUGAGGAAGGUAGGGGAGAAUGGAAUUCCUGGUGGAGCGGUGGAAUGCGCAGAUAUCAGGAGGAACACCAGUGGCGAAGGCGGUUCUCUGGGCCUUUCCUGACGCUGAGGAGCGAAAGCGUGGGGAGCGAACAGGCUUAGAUACCCUGGUAGUCCACGCUGUAAACGGUGGGUACUAGGUGUGGGGUCCAUUCCACGGGUUCCGUGCCGUAGNNAACGCUUUAAGUACCCCG
rnacentral:rRNA from 1 species